UGACCACUAUUUGGCGAGUGCAACUCGUUGCCGUUGGUGUUGCAGUCGCGCGCGCGGUGAGGGGUUGCACAGUGUGACCAUGGCUUUAGUCUCGAGGUGUGCUAAUUUUUGCUGUUCUCUUGUGUCUUUUUGUGCAAAAUAAUGCUUGUGACGCCCUUGAAAAUGGCUCUUAGAUGUCCUCCACCCUCUAAAUCCUCUAGUAAACCCAAGAAGAAGAGAAAAAUGAUGACAGUGAACGAAAAAGUUAAUUUAUUGGACAUGCUUAAGGCAGGCCAUAGCCAUGCGUCUGUUGCAUGCCAUUACAGAUUGAACGAAUUGACGGUUCGCUACAUUAAAAAAAAGAUGAAGUGAAUAUCUGUAAAAUGCCUUGAUAUUGUUCUCCAAGGACACUAAGCGAGUUGUUGUAAUAAGCGAAUUAUGAAAAUGGAGAAUGCCUUAUCAGUGUGGAUAUCGGACUGUCGGGAAAAGAAGGUUAGUCUCAAUACCAAUAUGAUUCUGACUAAAGACAAA
rnacentral:lncRNA from 1 species